AUUCCACUCCGUGAGUCACCAACUUCACCACCUCACUCAUCUCUGCCAUUCAUGACAGAGCUCCUUCUCGUGCCCUAAGCUCCAGCCAAGCAUCACCCCACGCCGACGAUCCAGCGGAGGACACUGCGAUUAGAUGCAGGGACUAGCGACUACCUCACUAUUGGCGCGAUAACGCUGGGCGAGGGCUUUCGGAGGUAGCCGAGGGAGAGAAAGGCAAGAGCAUUUUCCUCUAUGUUGGUAUGAAUCAGUAAGGUGAGGAAGAAACUUCCCAUGAUAUGAUGGAGGCUAUGUAGACAGAGUAGGUGCGGAGGCGGGAUGGAUGCAUGACACACUGUCUGGGAGUCUUUAGGAGUGUUAUGAAGUCUUGUGCUUCUUCUGAGUCUUUCCUUUACUUGUAUGGGAAGUUGUGCUAGUGCUUCCAUAUCCUCUUUUCUGGAUAAACUCCUUUGGUUGUGAUGCUACCGUGUAUGUUGAGUAUGGUGGUUCAUUCGAUGGGGUUGAUAGCAUAGUUUUUUUUAAAGCCAACAAUGUUUUCAGAGGUUGUUUGUUCAAUAUUGGUUUACAAUUGAUUGGUAAAUGUUGCAUAUGUUCUGUU